rnacentral:rRNA from 1 species
AGCGAACGCUGGCGGCAGGCUUAACACAUGCAAGUCGAGCGGGCACUUCGGUGUCAGCGGCAGACGGGUGAGUAACACGUGGGAACGUACCCUUUGGUUCGGAAUAACGCUGGGAAACUAGCGCUAAUACCGGAUACGCCCUUUUGGGGAAAGGCUUGCUGCCGAAGGAUCGGCCCGCGUCUGAUUAGCUAGUUGGUGGGGUAAUGGCCUACCAAGGCGACGAUCAGUAGCUGGUCUGAGAGGAUGAUCAGCCACACUGGGACUGAGACACGGCCCAGACUCCUACGGGAGGCAGCAGUGGGGAAUAUUGGACAAUGGGCGCAAGCCUGAUCCAGCCAUGCCGCGUGAGUGAUGAAGGCCUUAGGGUUGUAAAGCUCUUUUGUCCGGGACGAUAAUGACGGUACCGGAAGGAUAAGCCCCGGCUAACUUCGUG